rnacentral:lncRNA from 1 species
UCACAUUACCUUACUAAGUGACAUAGCAAGAAUGACCUCGAACCUUCAGAGUAGGGCUCCAAAUUAAGUGUUUAUGACUUAUUACUCUCCUAGAAGAAAGGUCCAUCACAGUUUGGAGGAUGCUGAUGAUGAAGAAAAGGAAUGAAAGGACCCUCUACAGAUAUCUGCUUCCAAGGCACAAUUUGAAACUUGAAAGUCAAUGUCAGCUUCUCUGAGACAAAUGGUAUCAUCAUCACGUAACUACCUUUACAAAAGCAGGCGUCAGGUGCUGCUGACACUUGGACUAAGUAAGGGAUGGACUUUUUAAACAAACUCCUCCUGCACCAGAGAAAAUCCUGGGCAGCCUAAAGAAGCAAAGCCCACAGGCAAAACGAUACAUGACACCUGAGGACAAGCUAAGAAAAUGGAAAGCAUAGCCAUCUCCUUAGCAAGGUGCUCCAGAAGUCUUUGCUCAGCAGACUGUUAAGGAUGUGUAGAGAGUUAGAAAAUUCAAGAGGAGGCCUAUGCUGAGCCCUGUAAUGGAAAAUGUCCAAACUGCCUGUAAUUCAUGUUCAAGCGCUGGACUUCCGUGGUUAGAUUAAAGAUAAACCAGCCAGGACCUUUCAACGGGUGAUAAAGAUCACAGGCUGCUUGUAACUGAUCAAAAGGCUAAAGGCGAACCCACAGCAGGGGUAUUAAAAUGGCCCCAAAGGUAAAGAGUAAACGGAGGACAGUAAAAAAAAAAAAAAAAAAAAAAAUUAACUAUCCCUUCCUGGCUCAAAGCUAACAAAACUAAAAGGCAAACUGGCAGCAUCAGACACAGCCACGGUAGUUACUGUUCCAUCCCGAGUCCUGGGCCACACAGAGGAAUUCUUAGAAUGCUAAACCAAGUAAUCUGAAGAUACAUAUUUUCUCCAUGGUGAGCCUCAAAGGCUCAGGGGUACACACUCACCUAGUACCCACGAAACCCUAACGGGAACAGCUUUGUGCCACUUUCAGUGACAACUACAAGGAACCAAGGCUCUGGGCACCCCAGGCUUUCUCUUGUCUCUCCAAACUUUAUCUUUUUUUGUUUUUGUUUUUGUUUAAACUCUAGUAAAUGUGCAAUUCUG